rnacentral:rRNA from 1 species
UCCACGGUGUAAACGCUGCGGGCUUGGUGUUGGGGAUCCUACGAGGGUGUCCAGUGCCGGAGAGAAGUUGUUAAGCCCGCCGCCUGGGGAGUACGAUCGCAAGAUUGAAACUUAAAGGAAUUGGCGGGGGAGCACUGCAACGGGUGGAGCGUGCGGUUCAAUUGGAUUCAACGCCGGAAAACUCACCAGGAGCGACUGUUACAUGAAGGUCAAGCUGAUGACUUUACCUAAUUUUCAGAGAGGUGGUGCAUGGCCGCCGCCAGUUCGUACCGCAAGGCGUUCUGUUAAGUCAGAUAACGAACGAGACCCCCAUCCUUAAUUGCCAUCCUGCCCUCCGGGG